rnacentral:rRNA from 1 species
AUGCAUCUUGACUCCACGACUUGUGUCCUAUGCAAUGAUGAAGAUAUGGAAGACAUGACUCAUCUACUCUUCACUUGCCCAUUUAGCCAAGAAUUUUGGUGGAACAUUGGUCUUGAAUGGAACUCUGAUCUGGACCUCCAUAAUAUGAUUAUUGAUGCUCAAAUAGAUACAAAAUUAGCCAUUUUUAUGGAAAUCAUGAUAUUGGGAUGCUGGAGCAUCUGGAAUCAAAGAAAUGGGAAGAUUUUUGAAGGAAUACCCUGCUCAGUAAAUGAAUGCGAGCAUGACUUUAUCAGAACUUUCAAAUUAACCAUGUUGGGAGCUAGACCGACUUUGAAGGAGGGCAUGUAUUCUUGGAUAGACAACAUUUAA